rnacentral:rRNA from 1 species
AUUGAACGCCGGCGGCAUGCCUUACACAUGCAAGUCGAACGGUAACAGGUCUUCGGAUGCUGACGAGUGGCGAACGGGUGAGUAAUACAUCGGAACGUGCCCGAUCGUGGGGGAUAACGAAGCGAAAGCUUUGCUAAUACCGCAUACGAUCUACGGAUGAAAGCAGGGGAACGCAAGGCCUUGCGCGAACGGAGCGGCCGAUGGCAGAUUAGGUAGUUGGUGGGAUAAAAGCUUACCAAGCCGACGAUCUGUAGCUGGUCUGAAAGGACGACCAGCCACACUGGGACUGAGACACGGCCCAGACUCCUACGGGAGGCAGCAGUGGGGAAUUUUGGACAAUGGGCGAAAGCCUGAUCCAGCAAUGCCGCGUGCAGGAUGAAGGCCUUCGGGUUGUAAACUGCUUUUGUACGGAACGAAAAGCCCCGGGUUAAUACCCUGGGGUCAUGACGGUACCGUAAGAAUAAGCACCGGCUAACUACGUGCCAGCAGCCGCAGUAA